CGGGGGGGGCAAGCGUUGUUCGGAAUUACUGGGCGUAAAGGGCUCGUAGGCGGCCAACUAAGUCGGAUGUGAAAUCCCCAGGCUCAACCUGGGAACUGCAUCCGAUACUGGAUGGCUUGAAUUCGGGAGAGGGAUGCAGAAUUCCAGGUGUAGCGGUGAAAUGCGUAGAUAUCUGGAGGAAUACCGGUGGCGAAGGCGGCAUCCUGGACCGACAUUGACGCUGAGGAGCGAAAGCUAGGGGAGCAAACGGGAUUAGAUACCCCGGUAGUCCUAGCCCUAAACGAUGAAUGCUUGGUGUAACGGGUAUCGAUCCCUGUUGUGCCGAAGCUAACGCAUUAAGCACUCCGCCUGGGAGUACGGUCGCAAGGCU
rnacentral:rRNA from 1 species